rnacentral:ncRNA from 1 species
AAACUUCAUCUAAGGCUAAAUAUCGACGCGAAAUCGAUAGCAAACAAGUACCGUGAGGGAAAGUUGCAAAGAACUUUGAAGAGAGAGUUCAAGAGAACGUGAAAUCGCUGAAGUGGAACCGGAGAGAGUUAACAUAACUUGGUAGCUAUAUCCUCUAAAGUCGCUUAACUGUGGCUCUGGGGGGUGGACGCUACCUGUUGUUGCACUGACUGCGUUGAUUGUGCUUUCCGAACAGUAUAGUGUUGCCCACUUUGUGGUGUCUUGCUUUCUGGGAGGUUUGUCAUAAUUAACGUAAAGCCAAUUCCCUUUGGAGUCAGUGUGAAAGUUAACCACCUUUCCGACCCGUCUUGAAACACGGACCGAGGAGUGUAAUUUAUACGCGAGUCAAGGGGUGGUGAAAACCCUAGGGGCGGAAUGAAAGUAAAGGCCGGUUAACCGGUUGACAUGGGAUCCGCUCUUCGGAGCGGCGCACCAUGGCCCUGUCUUGCUGCUUGCAGAUGGGCAGCGGUAGAGCGUAUAGUUUGCGACCCGAAAGAUGGUGAACUAUGCUUGAGCAGGACGAAGCCAGAGGAAACUCUGGUGGAAGUCCGUAUCGGUUCUGACGUGCAAAUCGAUCGAUAGACUUGGGUAUAGGGGCGAAAGACUAAUCGAACCGUCUAGUAGCUGGUUCCCUCCGAAGUUUCCCCCAGGAUAGCUGGAGUAGUGGUGCGUGGUUAUAUCCGGUAAAGCGAAUGAUUAGAGGACUUGGGGGCGAAACGAUCUCAACCUAUUCUCAAACUUUCAAUGGGUAUGAUGUCUCGGUUUCUUUAUUGAACUGUUGACAUGAACGUGUGCUCCAAGUGGGCCAUUUUUGGUAAGCAGAACUGGCGCUGUGGGAUGAACCAAACGCUGGGUUAAGGUGCCUAACUUUUCUCUCAUGAGACCCCAUAAAAGGCGUUGGUUGAUAUAGACAGCAGGACGGUGGCCAUGGAAGUCGGUACCCGCUAAGGAGUGUGUAACAACUCACCUGCCGAAUCAACUAGCCCUGAAAAUGGAUGGCGCUUGAGCGAAAGACCUAUACCCGGCCGUUACUGGCUUGUGCGAUGGCUAACGCCUGGCCGUAACGAGUAGGAGGGUCGUGGUGGUUGCGUUGAAGGCUUAGGGCGUAGGCCCGGCUGGAGCUUCCAUCAGUGCAGAUCUCGGUGGUAGUAGCAA